GGGCCCGUAGCUCAGCAGGAUAGAGCGGCGGCCUUCGGAGCCGCAGGUCGCGGGUUCGAGUCCCGCCGGGCCCGCCA
rnacentral:tRNA from 1 species